GAAACAGCUGAUUGGCCGAUAGAAGUGUGACCAUGGCGGCUGUGCAAACUCCAUCCUACACAGACACUGGUGAAAUACAACGUUAGAACCGGUUGCGAAGGGAAAGUACAGUGUAUGAAUGUAAAGAUAGGAUUAAGAAAGUAGUGCUGUUAACCGGUGCAAACAGUGGUAUUGUCCUUGCCCUGUGUGAGCGUCUACUAAGCCAGGAUGCCCAGCUGCAGCUCUGUCUGGCCUGCAGGAACAUGCAGAGAGCUGAGGCUGCUCGACAGGCUCUUCUAGUGCCUCACCCUCGAGCUCAAGCUACUCUGCUGCACUUAGAUGUGGCCAACAUGCGCUCUGUGCUCAGGGCUGCUGAGGAGUUCAAGCAGAUUUUUGGCUGUUCAUGCAGAAACCUGAGUCACUGGACCCCAAUGCCAAAUACCACAGUUUGACCUCUGGGCUUGGAAACAAUUACACUCAGCCACACAAGAUGGAUAUCAAUGAAAAUAUGUCAGAGGCCCUCUAUGUGAAGUUAUUAGAACUUGAGGAAACAGUGCGGAAGAAACUGAGAGAUGAGGAUCUAGAUAUCAAAACAAAAAACUAAAUAUGGACACCAAACCUCAUGCAUUCUAUUGCCUUAUAACACAUUUCCAUCUUGAAAUCUUAUCUAUGUAAUAGAUGAACACCUCAUGAAGAUCUUCAGAAACAUGUUAUAUGAAAUAUUUUUGAUAAUAGGCUGUGAACCACAUCAUGUUCUUCACAUAUGAUUUUAGCUUGUAUUUACAAAAAGUACUUGUAUGCAAUAGACCCUUUUCACAAAGGUGUGACUGUGAUGUAUUUACAUGUAUAACACUACAUUUGUAUUAUAUUACCUUUGCAUCAAAUUAAAGAAAAAUAGUUAAUGCUAAUGA